rnacentral:rRNA from 1 species
GCAAGUCGAACGCGAUAGAAGACUUCGGUCUUCGAGUAGAGUGGCGCACGGGUGAGUAACACGUGGAUAACCUGCCCUAGAGUCUGGGAUAACAUUUCGAAAGGGAUGCUAAUACCGGAUAAGCCCACAGAUUCUUCGGAGUCAGUGGGAAAAGAUUUAUUGCUCUAGGAUGGAUCCGCGGUCCAUUAGCUAGUUGGUGGGGUAAUGGCCUACCAAGGCUACGAUGGAUAGCUGGUCUGAGAGGAUGAUC